UUACAGGCUUUACUAAAAGCCAAAAAAAUUGAAAUUGAGAAACUA
rfam:Syphacia muris strain Valencia genome assembly, scaffold: SMTV_scaffold0000706